UACGGGGGGGGCAAGGCGUUGUUCGGAAUUACUGGGCGUAAAGGGUUCGUAGGUUGCCAACUAAGUCAUACGUGAAAUCCCUCAGCUUAACUGGGGAACUGCGUCUGAUACUGGUUGGCUUGAGUGCAGGAGAGGAACGCGGAAUUCCAGGUGUAGCGGUGAAAUGCGUAGAUAUCUGGAGGAACACCGGUGGCGAAGGCGGCGUUCUGGACUGCAACUGACACUGAGGAACGAAAGCCAGGGGAGCAAACGGG
rnacentral:rRNA from 1 species